rnacentral:lncRNA from 1 species
UUUCAAAAUAUGAAAACGGGCUUCAACACAAAUGGCAAAAACAAGUGUGUGGAACUUGGUCUUCUCCGCAUAAGAUGCAUCUUCUCUAUGAGUGCUUAUGUCACGGUUCUCCCGGAUGAACCGUAGAAUAAUCGAAAACCACUUAGACCUUUCACCACCACAACGAUUAAGACCUAAAGCAACGCAUUGCUUAAUACUAACCGAGAUAAAUCCCAGACAUAACCAAAGCUCAACUCCAAACUAACGAGACUAAAUAAGCCGGGGAAGAGAAGCUUAGCCCAAAAGAGGGAGACGUCAGCCCAAACGAGAGAAACAAUUAAAACUAAGCAUCUGAUGUUACCAGAUCUCACACGGAUACAAUCUGAUCAGAGCAAAUAGGCUAAACAAGGAGGAAGACAGUAAAGACGAGUGAGAUACCGAGAAAACGAAGAAUCGAUCUAAUGUUGCAUAGGAUCGCCAAGGAGAGAAUAGAACGAGCCGUCGCAAGAAGAAACAUGAGUCCCCCAUGUCGCCUUGACUCAUCGAAGCCAACCACCUGAAAGAACAGAACCUUACCGUGGCACCACUCCAUGACCCGCGAACAAAGAUGGCAACCCGAGCACACUAGCAACCAACAGAUCCGACAGAUCUAAAAGCCAUGGCCAAAUCUCACUAGAUUAGAUUCUCGAACUCACCACUCACCAUCGCAAAAACCUUCACGCUUCUUCACCAAAGGAGCCAAA